UCUUUGGGCCACUUCCGUGGCAUAUGGAGGUUCCCAGGCUAGGGGUUGAAUCGGAGCUGUAGCCACCGCCUACGCCAGAGCCACAGCAACGCAGGAUCCGAGCCGCUUUUGCAACCUACACCACAGCUCAGGGCAACGCCGGAUUGUUAACCCACUGAGCAAGGGCAGGGACCGAACCCACAACCUCAUGGUUCCUAGUCGGAUUCGGUAACCACUGCGCCACGACGGGAACUCCCUAUAUGUGUAUAUUUUAUAUAUAUAAUCUUUUUUUGAAUAUAAGAGUCAACAUUCUUUUGAAUAUUAUUUUGUACAUUUCAGUGCACUUUUUUGGAAAAUCAAGAUAAUGUUGAAAUUUCCUUUCAAAAAUAAAACCCAGCAGGUGUACAAAUAUACAGAAUAGAUGAAAGCAUAGCUUAUCUGGUUAAAGAGAUGAGGGAGCCAUGAGAGGAGCCUUAUUUUUCCCCCUACAUACGUUCUUCCCUAUCACUAAUUUUCUCUACUCCCCCCUCCACCAAACCUUCACUAUGGUCUGAGAAAACUUUCACAGUCCUAAUAGCUCUUGGGAACAAAAUGUGAAAAUGGCUACAGGGGAAUAUUCUGAAUGGAGAUGAUGAUGGAGAUGAGGAUGUAGCCAACAUUUACUGCGUGUUUACUGUGAGGCUUAUGGAGAAACUCCUUAAAAUAUUUCUGAUAGGUACACCAUCAGCCACAGCAGAUGAACCCAAACUAGGUUAUUUGAUAAUAAGCUGCAAAUUUGUUAGUGGAUGGAGACCUUGAGAAUACAACACAACAUAAGUACUGGCAGCAGAGGGGCCACUGGAAGCAAAGAGAGAGUGCCUGACUCAAAGGGCAGCAAGCAUCCCUUCAUCUGCUCACAUGUGCAUGCCGUAAAGAAUUCCUGAGUGCCUUCCAGAUGCCUAGGUAGUGGGGUCACCCAACACAGAGCUUGUAUUCUAAUAGACUUAGCAAGAAGCUCAAGUCUAUUGCAAACAAAUUACUUGUUUAGCUUUCUUUUUUUUUUUUUUUAAUUCUGGCCAAUACUGCUUCAGUGCAAACAAAUUAGUGAAGGCUACAGCAAACUCUCUAAAUUCCCUUUUAGUUGUAAGGACAUCAUUAUCAGCAAUUGAUAUUUACAACAACCAAGGUAAAGGGAGUGGGAAACCUGAGAAGUUGACACUCAAUUAGUAGAAAAGAAUUUAGAUAAUCUGAAGAAAAAUAAAAAUAUAUCUUUUAUCAGUGUCUAAAAAUUGUACUACAAAUGCUCAAUUAAGUUUUAUUAAACCUACAGAAUGGGACUGUCCAAAAAUCCAUAGACUUUUCUCCUCUAUUAAUCUUCCUAAGGUAGAGUAAUUUUUCUCCACAUAACAGAAGAGAAAAAUGAUACAAAGAGAAGCAUUUGUGUUUGUGCAAAUACAAAAUAAAAGGUUAUAUUUCAGGGCAUCACAUAGCACUUAAACAUUUUCACCGUAUUUUCACCCCAAACGAUCCUGAUCAUAUCAUUCCUCUCUUACUAAGAUGAAGUGGGGACACUUGUCUGUCAAUUUUCCCUGGCACUUGAUCUUAAGUCUCUGAUUCUUGUGUCAGGGCCUUUCCAAUGCAUUCAAAUUCUUGAGAAGAGAACACAACUGCCUGGACUCCUAGGGGAACUAUUUCUUACAUUAAGAAAAUUCCCUAACUUUCCUACUGGUCUUUUGGCUCUAGAAGUAUAGGAAAAGUGCUAAAAAGCAAAAGAAAAUCAGCCAAGGGCAGUUUCUUCACUCUACUCUGCUGAUGUGCCAAAUUGAUUCGGGGCAUGACUUUGAGCCCUCCCUGACCUACUCAGCUCAGUUUUGGUACUAAGAGCCUGUCAGACCCAGAGCAACAGAGAGCCCAGAUGAUCAGCAUCUAGGGAGUGGCUAAGGGUCUGGGAGGAAGUUUCGGCUCCCACAUCCAGGGCAUGCCCAUGAGAAACCCUGGCUACAAGCAUCUGAUCAUCUUUCUCUCUCUGAUGUCACCAAGCUUGUACUUCUGCAGCCAGUCCAUCCAACAGGACUUUUCCAUGGAUCUCAGGCCUUAACUCACUUCCACAUAGGACUGUAGCAUUAAUUAGUCCCUAGAACAUAGGUCAAGGGGUGAUAGCAUUAAUGUCCACACCUGGUUCUUUCGAGCCCCCUUUGCCAGAACUGACUCUGCUUCUGACAUGCCUUAUGUGGACUCUGCUGGACCUACUAAUUCUGAGCACUGAUACCUUACAACUGUACCUGACUAGCCUCAUACAGAGUUCCAGACUAGAUGUGAGUCCCCUGCUUCCCUGGAACUUGGUGAUUCAGACAGCUGAACAUUUUCUGGGUAGGUCAGCAUUUACUGUCCUCAGCUUUCAUGCACACAUACUGUCUUCUCCAUCCCCUCUCUUUCCACUGAGAGCUCCCAGCAUGUCACACAGCUAGACUCCUGCUAUUAUAAUACUGGACAGAGGGAUUACUCCUAUCUAGUUUCUUUUCUUUUCUUUUUUUCAGCCAUGCAAAAAAAAAAAAAAAAAAAGAAAAGCUGAAAAGGCAUGAAGAAGGUCCCAGGCCAUGGAUCAUAGAUCAAACAGGAGCCACAUCAGUAACCUGAGCCUCAGCAGUGACAAUGCUGAGUCCUUAACUGCUAGAUCACCAGGGAAUUCCUCCUAUCUAAUUUCUAUUAACUCUAAUGAAAAUUCAAAAGAAACAAUUCAGAUGCUCAGAAUGUUUUAAAACAAUGAAAUAUUCUCAGAAUGUAAGAAUCAAUAAGCAAAACAGUUGUGAAGCAUAUUUUCUAAAUUACCCAAAUGUUCAUCAGUAAAGAAGAAAAUAUUUUACUCUGGUUAUAAAUAAACUUUCAAUCUUAAACAGAUCUAUGUAUCAAAAGCUUACUAUUUGUCAAUUAUGUUCAAAUAGGAAAUAACCAAAUUGGUUCCUUAUCUCAAGAAAGUACUACAUUGUGAAAUCUCUCGGAUUAUUGCACAAGGCUUUUCAGUUCAAAAUAAUUAAGCAAUUCAACAGAUGAAGCCAAUGCUAUAACCUCUGCUAUAUUUUGAGACACACGUAUCAAGAUCUCCUACUACAGAAUCUAUUUGGGGGAAACGAUGUAGAGAUACUUUCCACAUCCCUCCUGUUAAGUACAACUAAAAGCACUGGGCAUUACAUAUAAAACAAACAUAGGAAGACUCUGAGAGGUGGAGAGAAGACAGACUAUCCGGAGAACCUGGAACUUAAGGAAUAACACAGAGGGUCCUUAAUAAGAUGUCGGACAGUGUUCUCGUCUUCACCAUGCUAAUAUCCAAGGACUCAAGAUACCAUCCAAAGAAAAGGAACUCCUGGGGAAAGCCAACAAUGUAAAAACUCUAAGAUUAUAUUUCUCAGUCUACAUCAGAGAAGAAGAAACCCUUGAAAGCUAGUGUGUUGAAAGAUCAAAACUACCACUUUUAAUAGAGUAAAAUGAAAAUUCCAGAAUCUUCUACAUAACUACUAGGUUUCACAAAUAAAAACUUUUCUUUAAAUGCUUCCCUUGAUUCCAACUUACAUAAUUACCCUAUUUUUUUAAGUAACUAAUACAUAGGUAAAGGGUAAAAAAAAAAAGAUGAGAAGUACAAAUGCUAUAUAAACAAUACUUCAAAAUGAAGUACCAAGGCCACUCAAUCAACCCACUUGGUAACUGUCUGAAAUGCAUUGCUCUCUGUCUCCCCGACCAUUCUGCACUGUAAGAGAUCAAAGAAUACAGCUGGAAGGAACAUCAAAUUCCUGAAGCCACACCUCCUGACCAGAUGCCUGAGGAACACAAAAUGAUGUC